rnacentral:rRNA from 1 species
CACGUAGGGGGGCGAGCGUUGUCCGGAUUUAUUGGGCGUAAAGAGCUCGUAGGCGGUUCGGCAAGUCACGUGUGAAAUCUCCACGCUCAACGUGGAGGCGCCACGUGAGACUGCUGUGACUCGAGUCCGGUAGGGGGAGCGUGGAAUUCCCGGUGUAGCGGUGAAAAUGCGCAGAGAUCGGGAGGAACACCCGUAGCGAAGGCGGCGCUCUGGGCCGGUACUGACGCUGAGGGAGCGAAAAGCGUGGGGGGAGCGAAACAGG